UAAGGGUUUUUGUUGACCAAUCUGCAGAUAAAAAAAAGUGAAUGUUAUUGUUAGAUGCAAUAUCAAGGUUAAACAUUAUGAUCAAUCUGUCUUUACAAGUCUCUCACAGGUACAUUAACAAGCUCUGUAUUAGUAAUCAAUCAAAAACUGAAUAAAAUAGAUCAGAUUUGAAUUUCCAUUGAAAUGGAGAAGGAUGAAGUGUAAUUUUAAA